rnacentral:rRNA from 1 species
AUGGAUACCCUCACUAUCAGUGUUCAUUUGGCUCAAUGUGGCCACGUGGAGUGCAUGGUGCUCCACGUGCCACUAUGGCGGCCUAAGCGUGUGUGCCGUCGUCUACGCGUGGCGUGGACCUACCUCUGUGUAUAUAAAUUGCGCCAAGAACCAAAGCAUCUGGUUUCUUCCAUCCAGAGAGACCAUCAGCGGCUAGCUUCACAGAAUCCAGCGGCGGUGACGAAUCCAUCCAUGGCGGAGGACCACCGCCGUGACCGCGCCCGGCAGCGGCGGCCAGGCAUGCUCGUGGUGGCAGCGCUCGGGGCUCUCGGCCUCCUCGCCCUCUCCGGCACGGUGCUGGCUGCCUCGGUCGCGGGGCUGGCCGUGGCGGCGCCGUUGCUCCUACUCGCCAGCCCGGUGCUCGUCCCGGCAGCGCUGCUUGCCGCUCUGACGGCCACCGGCAUGACCUUUUCAGGCUCGCUGGCCGUCGGGGCGACAGCGCUGCUGUCACGCUUGGGGAGCGCGGUGAGGAGGGCGGCCGCAACCCCGCCGGACUACGUCGAGUUGGGGAAGCGGCGGGUGGCAGAGGUGGCCGGGGAGCAGACGGCGCACAUUGACGCCGGACCGGCGAUCAGUCCAGAGCAAGUGGCCCGCAGCCGCCGGCCAUACGGUGGCUCUCACGCCUUUAUCUCUUAUUAA